rnacentral:rRNA from 1 species
AUUGAACGCUGGCGGCAUGCUUUACACAUGCAAGUCGAACGGCAGCGCGGGCUUCGGCCUGGCGGCGAGUGGCGAACGGGUGAGUAAUACAUCGGAACGUGCCCAGUAGUGGGGGAUAGCCCGGCGAAAGCCGGAUUAAUACCGCAUACGACCUGAGGGUGAAAGCGGGGGAUCCUCGGACCUCGCGCUAUUGGAGCGGCCGAUGGCAGAUUAGCUAGUUGGUGGGGUAAAGGCCUACCAAGGCGACGAUCUGUAGCUGGUCUGAGAGGACGACCAGCCACACUGGGACUGAGACACGGCCCAGACUCCUACGGGAGGCAGCAGUGGGGAAUUUUGGACAAUGGGCGAAAGCCUGAUCCAGCAAUGCCGCGUGUGUGAUGAAGGCCUUCGGGUUGUAAAGCACUUUUGGCGGGAACGAAAAGGACUGUGCCAAUACCACGGUUCGAUGACGGUACCCGCAGAAUAAGCACCGGCUAACUACGUG